rnacentral:rRNA from 1 species
ACGGGUGAGUAACGCGUGGAUAAUCUGCCUUCGAGUGGGGGAUAACUAGUCGAAAGAUUAGCUAAUACCGCAUAAGACCACAGGAUCUGAGGAUCUAGGGGUUAAAGGUUUUUCGCUUGAAGAUGAGUCCGCGUGAGAUUAGCUAGUUGGUGAGGUAAUGGCUCACCAAGGCGACGAUCUCUAACUGGUCUGAGAGGAUGAUCAGUCACACUGGAACUGAGACACGGUCCAGACUCCUACGGGAGGCAGCAGUAGGGAAUAUUGCACAAUGGAGGAAACUCUGAUGCAGCGACGCCGCGUGAGUGAUGAAGGCCUUCGGGUCGUAAAGCCCUGUCGCAGGGGAAUAACACAAUGAAUGUACCCUGUAAGAAAGGAUCGGCUAACUUCGUGCCAGCAGCCGCGGUAAGACGAGGGAUCCUAGCGUUGUUCGGAAUCAUUGGGCGUAAAGCGGGUGUAGGUGGCUUUGUAAGUCAGGUGUGAAGGCCCAGGGCUCAACCCUGGAAGUGCAUUUGAUACUGCGAAGCUUGAGUGUAGGAGAGGUUACUAGAAUUCUUGGUGUAGUGGUGAAAUACGUAGA